AGUGAACGCUGGCGGUAGGCCUAACACAUGCAAGUCGAACGGCAGCACAGGAGAGCUUGCUCUCUGGGUGGCGAGUGGCGGACGGGUGAGGAAUGCAUCGGAAUCUACUCUUUCGUGGGGGAUAACGUAGGGAACUUACGCUAAUACCGCAUACGACCUACGGGUGAAAGCCGGGGACCUUCGGGCCUGGCGCGAAAGAAUGAGCCGAUGCCCGAUUAGCUAGUUGGCGGGGUAAGAGCCCACCAAGGCGACGAUCGGUGGCUGGUCUGAGAGGAUGAUCAGCCACACUGGAACUGAGACACGGUCCAGACUCCUACGGGAGGCAGCAGUGGGGAAUAUUGGACAAUGGGCGCAAGCCUGAUCCAGCCAUACCGCGUGGGUGAAGAAGGCCUUCGGGUUGUAAAGCCCUUUUGUUGGGAAAGAAAAGCAGUCGGUUAAUACCCGAUUGUUCUGACGGUACCCAAAGAAUAAGCACCGGCUAACUUC
rnacentral:rRNA from 1 species